GUGCUCGCUUUGGCAGCACUUAAACUAAAAUUUGAAUGAUACAGAGAAGAUUACCAUGGCUCCCAUGCAAGCAUGACUUGCUAAUUUGUGAAGUGUUCCAUAUUUUG